AUUCAGUUCCAAGGCUCCAGGAUAUGAACAAGGACAAUUGAGUGGGAGAAAGAGAAAUCAGUGUGCUACUUUGUGUGUGUAAUUCAAGUUGAUUAUCUGUCAUUUGCAACAGUGAAUGAUGAGCCUAACACUGGAAUAACAUUAUAAGUAAAAAAUUCUGAAACUUAAGGAGAAUAUGUAUCUUGCCAAAGAUCGAACAGCUAUGAAGUGUUUUGGGAGAACCAGAAGUAGGUUUUAGGUAUAUAUGACAAACCCAAGUAGAUAAACAUGACACUGGGACUUCUAACCCCACAAUAAACACAAUGUGGUUCUAACCAUUUAAAGAGCAGAGUGAGCCUGUAAGGCCGAAGGAUUCAGGAUCCUUGUGGUUAAACCAAUAAAUCUCCAUUUAUUCACUUGAUACUCUCUUAAGGAUCAGCUUUUAGAGAAAAUACUUUAGAAAAUGAUCCAUAUCCUUAAAGCCAUUGCCUAAAAUGAGUAAGUCUAAGGAUGUUUAUUUUUAGUGAGUUUGGAUGCCUGAGAUAGACACAGAGGCCACAAACGCUUACCACCAUCAAGACAGUCAUUGUGCUGCUAAUAAUACAAAAAGUUGAGAAGAAAUAGUAAUGGAAAGUAAGAAGAUAACUGUAGAAGACCAUAUAUGGAUAAUUGAAUAGAAGCAUUCUGUGCUAAAAGAAGAUUGAAAAAUAAGAGAUUCUUAGGUGGAUGAGGGCCAUCUAGAGACCCUAAUAUAGGAGAUUCAAAUACUGAACUCCUGGCAUCUCAUCAGGACAUUCCAUUUGACUUUACCUGGAAAUGGAGGAACGCUUGCAAAGAGUUGCUGACCCAAAAACAGCUGCUGUAACCAGCCCUGACAGCAGGAGGGGCUUCUACCUGGCCCUAAGGAAUGUGGCAUCUGAGAGACCAACUCUGAUACAAUGUGGAAGAGGACUACGCAAAAGUAUAAAUACCAAGAGCGUUGUGAGGGAAGCAGCAAAGUUAUCAUGGAUGCAUUGGUGACUUCUUAAGCACCUCAAUGAUACCCAUUCAGAUUUUGGCAAUAGCUGUUUUGUAACACCCAGUUUUACGACUGAAAAGACACAGCCAGGUCCAGUGGGAUGAAUAAAACUGCUACAAGGGAUCAUCUGAUGCUUCAGCACUCAGUAUUUACAAUAUUAAUUUCCAACAGGGACUUGACCAAUUUAGGUCACCCUAACCAUUUUCUUAUCUUCUUCCCAAUAAUAAA